rnacentral:tRNA from 1 species
ACGGGCAUAGCUCAGUUGGUAGAGCACAGGUCUCCAAAACCUGGUGUCGGGGGUUCGAAUCCCUCUGCCCGUGCCA